AGAGUUUGAUCAUGGCUCAGAUUGAACGCUGGCGGCAUGCCUUACACAUGCAAGUCGAACGGUAACGCGGGGGCAACCCUGGCGACGAGUGGCGAACGGGUGAGUAAUACAUCGGAACAUAUCCAGUAGCGGGGGAUAACCUAUCGAAAGAUGGACUAAUACCGCAUACGAUCUACGGAUGAAAGCAGGGGACCGCAAGGCCUUGCACUAUUGGAGUGGCCGAUGUCGGAUUGGCUAGUUGGUGGGGUAAAAGCUUACCAAGGCGACGAUCCGUAGCUGGUCUGAGAGGACGAUCAGCCACACUGGAACUGAGACACGGUCCAGACUCCUACGGGAGGCAGCAGUGGGGAAUUUUGGACAAUGGGCGCAAGCCUGAUCCAGCCAUGCCGCGUGAGUGAAGAAGGCCUUCGGGUUGUAAAGCUCUUUCGGUGAAGACGAAACGGUUCAUGCUAAUAACGUGAACUAAUGACGGUACUCACAGAAGAAGCACCGGCUAACUACGUGCCAGCAGCCGCGGUAAUACGUAGGGUGCAGGCGUUAAUCGGAAUUACUGGGCGUAAAGCGUGCGCAGGCGGUUUGCUAAGACAGGUGUGAAAUCCCCGGGCUUAACCUGGGAAUUGCGCUUGUAACUGGCAGGCUAGAGUGUGGCAGAGGGGGGUGGAAUUCCACAUGUAGCAGUGAAAUGCGUAGAUAUGUGGAGGAACACCGAUGGCGAAGGCAGCCCCCUGGGUUAACACUGACGCUCAUGCACGAAAGCGUGGGGAGCAAACAGGAUUAGAUACCCUGGUAGUCCACGCCCUAAACUAUGUCAACUAGUUGUCGGGGAAGAAAUUCCUUGGUAACGAAGCUAACGCGUGAAGUUGACCGCCUGGGGAGUACGGCCGCAAGGUUAAAACUCAAAGGAAUUGACGGGGACCCGCACAAGCGGUGGAUUAUGUGGAUUAAUUCGAUGCAACGCGAAAAACCUUACCUACCCUUGACAUGCUAGGAAGCCCGCAGAGAUGUGGGUGUGCCCGAAAGGGAACCUAGACACAGGUGCUGCAUGGCUGUCGUCAGCUCGUGUCGUGAGAUGUUGGGUUAAGUCCCGCAACGAGCGCAACCCUUGCCAUUAGUUGCUACAUUCAGUUGGGCACUCUAAUGGGACCGCCGGUGACAAACCGGAGGAAGGUGGGGAUGACGUCAAGUCCUCAUGGCCCUUAUGGGUAGGGCUUCACACGUAAUACAAUGGUCGGUACAGAGGGCUGCCAACCCGCAAGGGGGAGCUAAUCCCAGAAAGCCGAUCGUAGUCCGGAUUGUAGUCUGCAACUCGACUGCAUGAAGCCGGAAUCGCUAGUAAUCGCGGAUCAGCAUGUCGCGGUGAAUACGUUCCGGGUCUUGUACACACCGCCCGUCACACCAUGGGAGUGGGUUCCACCAGAAGUAGUUAGCCUAACCGCAAGGAGGGCGAUUACCACGGUGAGAUUCAUGACUGGGGUGAAGUCGUAACAAGGUA
rnacentral:rRNA from 1 species